rnacentral:piRNA from 2 species
UUAAAGCUAAGCCUUCUGGUAAGUUCAGAG